rnacentral:rRNA from 1 species
AUUGAACGCUAGCGGGAUGCCUUACACAUGCAAGUCGAACGGAGUGGCGAACGGGUGAGUAAUGUAUCGGAACGUGCCCAGUCGCGGGGGAUAACUACGCGAAAGCGUAGCUAAUACCGCAUACUAUUUGAGCGGCCGCUAUCGGAUUAGCGAGUUGGUGGGGUAACGGCUCACCAAGGCGACGAUCCGUAGCCGGUUUGAGAGGACGACCAGCAACACUGGGACGGAGAACGGGCACGGACUCCUACGGGAGGCAGCAGUGGGGAAUUUUGGACAAUGGGGGAAACCCUGAGUCAGCCAUCCAGCGUGUGCGAUGAAGGCCUUCGGGUUGUAAAGCACUUUUGGAAGGAAAGCGGUACCUGAAGAAUAAGCACCGGCUAACUACGUGCCAGCAGCCGCGGUAAUUC